UACGGAAGGGGCGAGCGUUGUUCGGAAUCAUUGGGCGUAAAGGGCGCGUAGGUGGUUCUGUAUGUCUACCGUGAAAGCGUACGGCUCAACCGUAUUUUGUCGGUAGAAACUGCAGGACUUGAGGCUGGGAGGGGCUGGUGGAAUUCCCUGUGUAGCGGUGAAAUGCGUAGAGAGUGGGGAGAACACUCGUGGCGAAGGCGGCCAGCUAGACCAGUUCUGACACUGAGGCGCGACAGCGUGGGGAGCAAACAGG
rnacentral:rRNA from 1 species